UCUUGUGUACAUGCCUACUAUGCUAAUGCAUCAUAUCCCAUUAAGAACUCUACAGUUAAGCACACUUGGGCUAGAGUAAAAUUGGGAUGGGUGACCACCCGAGAAGUCCUAGUGUUUUACAUGCU
rnacentral:rRNA from 1 species